UCGAUGAGCCAACAGUAAAUAUGGAACCCUACGUCCAAGCCCUCUGACUACAAGAGUCCAUCGCCAAGGUUGCUGGAAACUCAUCUUCUCCUCCGCUAUAAAAAGGAUAGACAAGCAUAGUGGGUCCUCAUCUUGCUCGUCUAGCAUAUCAUCCUCCUCUCUCAUAGCUUCAGCAACAUCUUCCGAAUUCGAUUCGGCCACAUACCACUCGUCCAUCGAACUGGAGCCUUCAAACAGGGAAUUAAGUCGGUGAGUCCAGGCGUUCGCCAGAGUCGAUUUCUCCUUCAUAGUUUCAUCUGCUUUCUCUGCACAAACUUUAGUCUCCUGAUCCGUAACGUUCAAUCUCCACAUCAUUAAUCCUCGUUUCAUCUUCCAAUUCAAUCGGUCGGACCUUCUUUUUGACUUAUUAGGCAUCCCUGUCUCCUUUAGCUGACGGAGAAGAUGACGCCGUCGUAGGCCAAAGCGUUCCGGAAAUUGGCUCACACGGCUUGGUUGCUGCCUUAGACGGCUGAGCCGUCGCCGGCAUCGUCAACACAGAAAAACCCUAAACGCGACAAGGAUCGCCUCCACUCAGAGCUCCGGAAAAGUCGGGUUUGGAUGCUAAGGAAAAUUCUUUCCCCCCCUCUCUAGCUAGCUUUCUGAAGACUCUAUGUAGGUAGACAGUCUGCUUGGAUUUGUUCAGCUAUGUAUGUAGAAUGGUGUUGCAGUACUGAUUGGUGCUCAGUGGUACGACUGGAACGUUGUGGGAAUUUCGAGGAUAUUUCUACGUUGUUGGUUGUACCCGGUUAUUUCAUAGGUUAUACGUCUUUAAUCUAUUUAAUAUAUGGUUUAACACUUUAACUAAGUAGUCCUAAAAUCGUUCAAUGAACAUUUGCAUUUUGAUAG
rnacentral:lncRNA from 1 species